GGGGAUGACAGGCCUCGAUAGGAGUUCUUUACAAAAUGAGCAAGUCGAGUAUUGCCACAAUCUCGCAAAACUUUGGCAAAAUCAAUAAGUGCAAACUUAUUUAACAAGGUAAAGAGCGCUUUUCGCGUUCCGAGCUUUGCUCCUGCCACGGCUUAACUAGCCGCGGCACAUCGGCCGCCGACUCUCGGUAGGCGGGUCCCGGUGUCAUAACCGAGAUAGAAAAUUUCUUUGGCUUAGAGAAAUUUUUGAAAAUUAAUAGGCCUCGGGCACAAGGAUUUUGCUAAAUUUAUACCUUGUGUUUUAAAAAUUUAAUUUAGCUAAACUUGUAGAUUCGUUUUGUCGAAGACUUCUAGACGCGGGUUCAAUUCCCGCCAUCUCCACCA
rnacentral:tmRNA from 1 species